rnacentral:rRNA from 1 species
AUUGAACGCUGGCGGCAGGCCUAACACAUGCAAGUCGAACGGUAACAGGAAGCAGCUUGCUGCUUUGCUGACGAGUGGCGGACGGGUGAGUAAUGUCUGUGAAACUGCCUGAUGGAGGGGGAUAACUACUGGAAACUGUAGCUAAUACCGCAUAACGUCGCAAGACCAAAGAGGGGGACCUUAGGGCCUCUUGCCAUCGGAUUUGCCCAGAUGGGAUUAGCUAGUAGGUGGGGUCACGGCUCACCUAGGCGACGAUCCCUAGCUGGUCUGAGAGGGUGACCAGCCACACUGGAACUGAGACACGGUCCCGACUCCUACGGGAGGCAGCAGUGGGGACUAUUGCACGAUGGGGGCAAGACUGAUGCAGCCAUGCCGCGUGUAUGAAGAAGGCCUUCGGGUUGUACAAUACUUUCAGCGGGGAGGAAGGGAGUAAAGUUAAUACCUUUGCUCAUUGACGUUACCCGCAGAAGAAGCACCGGCUAACUCCGUG